UACAGAGGUCUCGAGCGUUAGGCGGAAUCACUGGGCGUAAAGGGUGCGUAGGCGGGUCUUUAAGUCAGGGGUGAAAUGCCAAGGCUCAACCUUGGAACUGCCUUUGAUACUGGAGACCUUGAGUCCGGGAGAGGUGAGUGGAAUUGCGAGUGUAGAGGUGAAAUUCGUAGAUAUUCGCAAGAACACCAGUGGCGAAGGCGGCUUACUGGCCCGGAACUGACGCUGAGACGCGAAAGCGUGGGGAGCAAACAGG
rnacentral:rRNA from 1 species